UGGCUCACGUAGGUUCGUUCGCGUGGUCUUGUUACGCCUCGCUGGAUCGUGUUCAGUCAUGCCGUCCUUGCGCGGCGUGAUUGUCGGUGAGUCAGGUUAAAUUCUUAAAUAGGUCGCGCCUGCGCCUAAUUGAGUCUAUAAAAGCCUGCACAUUCAGUUUUGCUAGCUACAAUGCAGUGCGGCUGGCGUGAGCUGUCUCCACGAUGCGCUUCGAGCGUGUCGAUUUCGCCGUUCUUUAUGUUGGCGUUAACGACCUUGAAAGCAACAUGUAUCCACAAGAAAUGUGCGACAACAUCAAGGCCUUGAUUGUUCAACGAGACGGCCCCCGUCGUGCUGGUUUUCAAGGUGCUCCCUCGCUGCCUAGAAGAUGCUGAUGCGGAAUAGAAAAUGCAAAAACGUCGCUUGCUCAACCGCAAAUUGACGGCUACGCUGAAGCGCAUGCCGUGUCUGCGGAAUUUGAACCCCGAGCUUUCCAGAGUUCCUUGGAAAAUCCUCCCAUGCACCUGCCAUGUACAUUGCCCUCCUCCUCGAUUUGGCGUGCAAGAUGGCAGCAGCAGCUGUGGGAACAGUUGAAGAGGCGAAGAAAGGUCCACUUUAUAAUAGGUUGUAUGUAAAUAAAACUGAUCGACCUCAA
rnacentral:lncRNA from 1 species